CAAUAGCGUAUAUUAAAGCUGUUGCGGUUAAAAAGCUCGUAGUUGGAUUUCUGUCAAGGACAACUGGUCCGCCCUCCGGGUGAGCACAUAGUUUGGUCUUGACAUCUUGCUGGAAGCUGUUGCUGCACUUGGCUGUGUGGCGCAGUGUUCAGCACUUUCACUUUGAGGAAAUUGGAGUGUUUCAAGCAGGCACAUGCCUUUGGACACAGUAGCAUGGAAUAAUUAGAUUGGGCUUUUGCUCCAAUUUGUCGGUUUCUGGAGCUGAGGUGAGUAUUAAUGGGGAUUGUUGGGGGCAUCCGAAUUUAGCCGUCAGAGGUGAAAUUCUUGGAUCUGCUAAAGACGGACAACUGCGGAAGCGUUUGCCCAGGAUGUUUUCAUUG
rnacentral:rRNA from 1 species